rnacentral:misc_RNA from 1 species
CAGAUACUGGCUGAUAUACCUACCUAUUCCGCAUCCGCAACCCGACGCUCCAGCUUUGCCUAAAAUGCUAAAGGGUAGCACAUUGAAAGCCCUGGACGUCAGAAUCCUACGGCCCCUUAUUGAAACAAGGUCAGCAGCGGAGGACAGCAGCGCAGUUUCUCCAGCAGCAUCCACCGGUCCUACAUAACAUUCAAUGAUUUCCGCAAAAAACACCGCUGGUACACUAAGAAGGAGCUUGUGGGGUACUCCAUGCAGGACAUGUACAGCGUGGUUUCCGACGUCAGCAAUUACCACAAGUUCGUGCCGUAUGUGAAGCGCUCCGAUGUCCACAGCCA